rnacentral:rRNA from 1 species
AGCGGCGCACGGGUGAGUAACACGUGGAUAACCUGCCUCAAAGUGGGGAAUAACACCGGGAAACCGGUGCUAAUACCGCAUAUUCUGACGAGAUCUGCGGAUUUUGUCAGGAAAGGAGCAAUUCGCUAUGAGAGGGGUCCGCGGCUGAUUAGCUAGUUGGUGAGGUAAUGGCUCACCAAGGCUACGAUCAGUAGCCGGUCUGAGAGGACGGUCGGCCACACUGGAACUGAGACACGGUCCAGACUCCUACGGGAGGCAGCAGUGGGGAAUUUUUCGCAAUGGGGGCAACCCUGACGAAGCAAUGCCGCGUGGAUGAUGAAGUAUCUCGGUACGUAAAAUCCUUUCGACGGGGACGAAACCGCAAGGUUGACGGUACCCGUAGAAGAAGCCCCGGCUAACUCCGUGCCAGCAGCCGCGGUAAUACGGGGGGGGCAAGCGUUGUUCGGAAUUACUGGGCGUAAAGGGUGCGUAGGCGGCUUUCUAAGUCGGAUGUGAAAACUCUGGGCUCAACCCAGAGCCUGCAUCUGAAACUGGAGAGCUAGGGUUUUGGAGGGGAAAGCGGAAUUCCAGGUGUAGCGGUGAAAUGCGUAGAUAUCUGGAGGAACACCGAUGGCGAAGGCGGCUUUCUGGACAAAUACCGACGCUGAGGCACGAAAGCUAGGGGAGCAAACAGGAUUAGAUACCCUGGUAGUCCUAGCCCU